rnacentral:rRNA from 1 species
UACGGGGGGGGCAAGCGUUGUUCGGAAUUACUGGGCGUAAAGGGCUCGUAGGUGGCCAACUAAGUCAGACGUGAAAUCCCUCGGCUUAACCGGGGAACUGCGUCCGAUACUGGCAGGCUUGAAUCCGGGAGAGGGAAGCGGAAUUCCUGGUGUAGCGGUGAAAUGCGUAGAUACCAGGAGGAACACCGGUGGCGAAGGCGGUUUCCUGGCCCAGUACUGACGCUGAGGCACGAAAGCGUGGGGAGCGAACGGG